AAUAAGGUGGCUGAAGUUUUAGGCUAUAAAUUGUAAAUUUAUAUAUAAGUAUGUUACUUUCUUAUUA
rnacentral:tRNA from 1 species